UGGGGAAUAUUGGACAAUGGGCGCAAGCCUGAUCCAGCCAUGCCGCGUGAGUGAUGAAGGCCCUAGGGUCGUAAAGCUCUUUCACCGGUGAAGAUAAUGACGGUAACCGGAGAAGAAGCCCCGGCUAACUUCGUGCCAGCAGCCGCGGUAAUACGAAGGGGGCUAGCGUUGUUCGGAUUUACUGGGCGUAAAGCGCACGUAGGCGGACGUUUAAGUCAGGGGUGAAAUCCCGGGGCUCAACCCCGGAACUGCCUUUGAUACUGGAAGUCUUGAGUAUGGUAGAGGUGAGUGGAAUUCCGAGUGUAGAGGUGAAAUUCGUAGAUAUUCGGGGGAACACCAGUGGCGAAGGCGGCUCACUGGACCAUUACUGACGCUGAGGUGCGAAAGCGUGGGGAGCAAACAGG
rnacentral:rRNA from 1 species